GACGAACGCUGGCGGCGUGCUUAACACAUGCAAGUCGAACGAUGACGACCGAGCUUGCUCGGUCUGAUUAGUGGCGAACGGGUGAGUAACACGUGAGCAACCUGCCCUUCACUCUGGGAUAACCUCGGGAAAUCGGGGCUAAUACCGGAUAUGAGCUCCUGUCGCAUGGCGGGUGUUGGAAAGUUUUUCGGUGAAGGAUGGGCUCGCGGCCUAUCAGUUUGUUGGUGAGGUAGUGGCUCACCAAGGCGAUGACGGGUAGCCGGCCUGAGAGGGCGACGGGCCACACUGGGACUGAGACACGGCCCAGACUCCUACGGGAGGCAGCAGUGGGGAAUAUUGCACAAUGGGCGAAAGCCUGAUGCAGCGACGCCGCGUGAGGGAUGACGGCCUUCGGGUUGUAAACCUCUUUCAGCAGGGAAGAAGCGAAAGUGACGGUACCUGCAGAAGAAGCGCCGGCUAACUACGUG
rnacentral:rRNA from 1 species